CUCUUUCUUUCCUUUCUUCUUUUCUUUCUUCCUCUUUUCUCUCAUUCACGCACGUAGCAAUUCUCCCACUCCCUUUCUUUCCUUUCCAUUUUCUUUCUCCUUUCUUCCUCUCUUCUCCCCUGCACACUGCAACCCCAUUUCUCUCUCACACACACACGCGCUCAAGAGACAGAUCGAGAGAGAGAGAACCACUGAAUGGAAGAGCAAACCGUGAGAGAGAUGAUGCAACCCAAAAGAGAAGAAUAAGAGAAGGAGAAACGGAUUUUUGGCCAUGGGUCUUUGUAAGGAUCGUGUCCGGUAUGAAGACCUUAAUUGCUUCUCUAAUGUAGAGUUCAAGUAACUAGAACACGAGGGAAAUGUUGAAGUCAUGAGUCCUAUGCAGCCAAGGUACUCCGGUCGUAGUUGAUGACGUUGUAAAAGUGUACUUGGGAUAUUAUGACUAAAGCUCGCGGCAACGGUCGUAAUUGGUGGACCACGGGUUGUCCAUUGUCUUAUAGGUUCUGCUUAUGGCUUGUGACGCCUGUGUCACUUGUUGUAUAAGUCAUUUCUGUUAUGUAUUUAUAUUGAGGAAAGACUUAAACAAAUAAAUGAUUAAAUGGCUCUUCUUGUGGUAA